AGGGUUUGAUCAUGGCUCAGGAUGAACGCUAGCGGCAGGCUUAACACAUGCAAGUCGAGGGGUAACAGGAGUAGCUUGCUAUUUGCUGACGACCGGCGCACGGGUGCGUAACGCGUAUAGAAUUUACCUUAUACUGGGGGAUAGCCUUUGGAAACGAAGAUUAAUACCCCAUAGUAUUAUUUUUUGGCAUCAUUAAAUAAUUAAAGUUUCGGCGGUAUAAGAUGACUAUGCGUUCUAUUAGUUAGUUGGUAAGGUAACGGCUUACCAAGACCGCGAUAGAUAGGGGUCCUGAGAGGGAGAUCCCCCACACUGGUACUGAGACACGGACCAGACUCCUACGGGAGGCAGCAGUGAGGAAUAUUGGACAAUGGAGGCAACUCUGAUCCAGCCAUGCCGCGUGUAGGAAGACUGCCCUAUGGGUUGUAAACUACUUUUAUAUGGGAAGAAUAAGGUCUACGUGUAGGCUGAUGACGGUACCAUAAGAAUAAGCACCGGCUAACUCCGUGCCAGCAGCCGCGGUAAUACGGAGGGUGCAAGCGUUAUCCGGAAUCAUUGGGUUUAAAGGGUCCGUAGGCGGGCAUAUAAGUCAGUGGUGAAAGUCUGUGGCUUAACCAUAGAAUUGCCAUUGAUACUGUAUGUCUUGAAUUAUUGUGAAGUGGUUAGAAUAUGUAGUGUAGCGGUGAAAUGCUUAGAGAUUACAUAGAAUACCGAUUGCGAAGGCAGAUCACUAACAAUAUAUUGACGCUGAUGGACGAAAGCGUAGGUAGCGAACAGGAUUAGAUACCCUGGUAGUCUACGCCGUAAACGAUGGAUACUAGUUGUUUGGCCUUCGGGCUGAGUGACUAAGCGAAAGUGAUAAGUAUCCCACCUGGGGAGUACGUUCGCAAGAAUGAAACUCAAAGGAAUG
rnacentral:rRNA from 1 species